AAGGCCACCACCUGCUCCAGCUUGAAAGCCAGCCUCUGUUUCCUGGCUGCAUCGUCCUGCUCCAGUGCACACACAAUCUGCCAGCAGGACAGUGAGUAGCUGCAGCCGCUCGAGGACAAGCCCAGAGUUUGGCUGGAUAAUUCUGGGCAUGUAUGAGGAAGAGAUGCAUUUGCCAGGAAGCAAGUCUUCAGAGCAAACUGAGCAAAGUAAAAAGGCAGAAAAGCACUGAACAAGCAGGGCAGAUUUCCUUCUUGAGAUACACGUUUGCAUUAGCCUGCUCACCAGGUAAGGAUGUUCUACCCUUACAAUUAAGCUGAAAGGAGCAUGAAGGAGAGAGACAAGGAGGACAUCUCCUCUUUACCUCUACAGUGUUCACUUUCUUUCCUCUCCCUUUGCAGUCUUCUUUCAUAGCUGCUGCAGUCUGUAUUUUAAAUCCUUUCCUUGGCAUGACCCUUACUUUGUCACGGUUGGACAGCAGAGUGAAGCAGCACUAGAUCCACCCUUACUCAGUCAUUACUAUGUUACUGAGGCUUUUCCAACUGAAUAACAUAGUUCCACUGUGGGGAGUUCAUUGAUGACAGUAUUGCUUCCCCAAACUUGCAACUCAGGAAUGAUUUAUAUACACUACAGGACAGUGGGAUGUUUCUUUUUACAGAUAUUCAGACAAACCGUAUUUUCUGAAAAUCCCAGAGCAUGCAUGGAUCUUUAAGAAUAGUGUGUACACACAAACCUCUGAUAUAACCCUGUGUGUGAGCUACUAAACAUACAUACUAAAUACAGGCUAAAAUGUCUGCUUGUGCUACCCCCUACAGCAGCCAUCUCUGACUAGACAGAUCAUUUUUCUGCUCACAGUAUCCAAACAUAUCCAUGUAUGAAUCAGCAGAGGACCCUCACACAUAUUUGUGUUUAUGGCAGACCACAGACACAAACGCACAUAGGACUAAUGAGUACGGUCCUGAGCCUGAAGCUCCACAUUUGGUUCCACCCAUUCAAGCAGCGCACAUAUAUUCUCAUCCUGAGGCUUGCCUCGUGACGAAGCUACGACACAUAAAUACUCUGACCGCUUCACACUAUCCCAUCUUUUAUUCAAGACCUCUGCGCCUCCCCUGCUGACAAAUAAAUUUAAUAAAACUCUCAUUUUAACAAAUUACCGGCUUCUACUGCUUCCUCUCCCUCUCUCUUUUCCCCACACAGACUCCUCCGUACUGUAGAUCUCGAGCCCUGGGCGCUCCCAUCCAUUCCCACUGUGUUGUAAUUUGGAUUGUGUUUCAUGGCCCAUAGAUCACAGCGCUACCAUUGCAUUCUGUGUGUGUUGGAAUGAAACAUGGCUAAUGCAGCUUUUCUGAUGUUUUCACUCACAUAGGUGUCCAGCACACCCACACACACACUCACACACUGCAUUUUAUGGACAGCACAGCUCACCUCUC